ACACAUGCAAGUCGAGGGGAAACGACAUCGAAAGCUUGCUUUUGAUGGGCGUCGACCGGCGCACGGGUGAGUAACGCGUAUCCAACCUGCCCACCACUUGGGGAUAACCUUGCGAAAGUAAGACUAAUACCCAAUGAUAUCUCUAGAAGACAUCUGAAAGAGAUUAAAGAUUUACCGGUGAUGGAUGGGGAUGCGUCUGAUUAGCUUGUUGGCGGGGUAACGGCCCACCAAGGCAACGAUCAGUAGGGGUUCUGAGAGGAAGGUCCCCCACAUUGGAACUGAGACACGGUCCAAACUCCUACGGGAGGCAGCAGUGAGGAAUAUUGGUCAAUGGACGAGAGUCUGAACCAGCCAAGUAGCGUGCAGGAUGACGGCCCUAUGGGUUGUAAACUGCUUUUAUAAGGGAAUAA
rnacentral:rRNA from 1 species